rnacentral:lncRNA from 1 species
CCUCCUCUUCCCGUGAGCCUGCCUGCCCCAGCCAACGGCUCCUCACGGCAGCUCCUUUCCCUCCCAGCCCACCCAUGCCAUUCUGAACGUCAUCCUGCAGGAACGUCGCCCUGGAGCUGAAGGGACUGCGGGAUAGCCGAUGGCCCUGGGGAAGCCUGGAUGAGAUCCAGCACACCUUCGUCUUCCCUAAAUCAGCGUGUCAGGACCUCAUUCCUACCCUGAGAAGAGAAGGCACACCUUCUGUCACCCAGGGCUGCCGGCAGGGUUGGCCUCUGGUGGGAGCUGAGGGACCUAGGGAGGACACUUCACCCCAAAUGACCACCCUCAGGAUGCGCUAAGGCUCACUGUUCUGGGAGCCAUUCUCAUUCAUCAGGACUUCAGCAAGAAUGGCCAGAAAUCGACAUCGCUGGGACAGGUGGGCUGUCUGGAGCUGAUCGCCACAAGGGCUGGAGGCUGUCACCUACUGCUCCCUCUGCCUGCCCCACCAGCUAGCUGGCCGUGACGUCCAGGACCUCACCCACUAUUACUGCCAAGAAGAUGAGCUCCAGAUCUGGGCAGCUACACACAGGAGACCUCCAUGGGAUGCACCUCUAGGCUCCGUCCCAGCGGCCAGAGGUUCUUGAUGUCCGGCCUCCUCGUGGGUCCCCAUCUCCCACCACUAACCUGCAUAACGACCUCCCUCCAGGCACUGGGAUUUAUGACAGUGCUGCUCAUGAGCCUCACAUGGCUCUGUUUUUUGCCACAUGCAAUGCAGUGUUGACUG